UAUGAUACCAAAUUUACUCAAAGAAUUUAAUCAUACCUGUCCACUGGAUUUAAUCAUGUAUUGGAAGCAUGCAUCAUGAUGCUUAAGUCCAAAUAAUUAGGUGCUCCAAUCGCAGUUGUCUCAAGAACGAAAGGCCAUAGAACCAUGUGUAGAGACAAAUGGGAUGUGCAGAGACAAAUGGGAUGUGCGCGUGGGAAAAGUGAGUGAGAGAUGUAAUGUAUGCAAUGACCUAGUGAGGGGUUAUGGCAUGAAAUGAUGAUGCUAGAGCAUGACAUAAUUUUGGCAUAGUAAUGGCUAGUAAAAAUGGUUUUCCAAGUAUAAUAAACAACACUUUUAUUUGUUG
rnacentral:lncRNA from 1 species